CAAAACAUGGCAUCCUCAAAGGCUUUUCUUCUUCUUGGUCUUGUCUUUGCUGUUCUCCUCAUCUCCUCUGAGGUCUCAGCUGCUCCAACUCAGGAGAGUACAGUCAACAGUGAUGAUUUUCUAGAUGACCAUGGCCACGGACAUGGAGGUUAUGGCCACGGACAUGGAGGGUAUGGCCACGGACAUG